GUAGUCGGAUUCGCAUCAAUCCACAUGUGUUGGAGUAGAACUUGAACUAAAUUCCACCCCAAUCCACUCCAACACAUGUGGAUUGAGGUGAAUCCGAUA
rfam:Sorghum bicolor cultivar BTx623 chromosome 5, whole genome shotgun sequence.